rnacentral:rRNA from 1 species
AUUGAACGCUGGCGGCAUGCCUUACACAUGCAAGUCGAACGGCAGCACGGGUGCUUGCACCUGGUGGCGAGUGGCGGACGGGUGAGUAAUACAUCGGAACGUACCUUAUCGUGGGGGAUAACGCAGCGAAAGCUGUGCUAAUACCGCAUACGCCCUGAGGGGGAAAGCGGGGGAUCGCAAGACCUCGCGCGAUUAGGGCGGCCGAUGCCUGAUUAGCUUGUUGGUGGGGUAAAAGCCCACCAAGGCGACGAUCAGUAGCUGGUCUGAGAGGCCGAGCAGCCAGACGGGGGAUGAGACACGGGCCAGACUCCUGCGGGCGGCAGCAGUGGGGAAUUUUGGACAAUGGGCGCAAGCCUGAUCCAGCCAUUCCGCGUGCAGGAUGAAGGCCCUCGGGUUGUAAACUGCUUUUGUACGGAACGAAAAGGCUCUGGUUAAUACCUGGGGCUCAUGACGGUACCGUAAGAAUAAGCACCGGCUAACUACGUGCCAGCCGCCGCAGUAA